AUGCAGCAGAGCUGGGGUGCAGGGCUGGCAGUACUAGCCACGCUGCUCCUGGUGGCUGUGGGCAGAGCCCAGGUGCAGCAGGAAUUGUCAGCAGAGGCCACAGAGGGCACCAGCAUCAGCAUCAGCUGCUCACACCCCAACAUACAGUCCUACGAGUACAUCCACUGGUACCGGCACCUCCCGGGACGAGGUCCCACGUUCAUUGUGAGUGCUCUCAAAGGGUCCAAAGAGGUGCAGGACCCUCCAGGAACCCUGCUUGUGGCUGCAGACCGCCGGUCCAGUGACCUGCAGCUCACAUGGCCCCAGCGGCGUGACACGGCGGUGUAUUACUGCACCCUGAGAGACCCAGCGGGACAGGCUGGGGCUGCGGCUGUGCACAAACCGCCGUGGAUGGGGCAGGGUGUACAAGGUGGCAGCUGGCCUGAAGGAGAGGGGCUGAUUCACCACACUGCCGAACACCGCAGGAAAAUAUGCGUCUUCCAGCUGGAGGAAGUCAAGGUCUCUGAACAGGAACAACCUGUUCUCCUCAGGAAAGGAUUCCAUGUCACCCCUAGGGCUGGUGGUGUCCUCAGAGGCAUGAUUGGGCUUGAGUGCUACACCAGCCUCAGCCCAAACAAGCUCAGCUGA